UGCCUGUUGCGUGAGUUUUUAUGUGGACGC
rnacentral:piRNA from 1 species